rnacentral:lncRNA from 1 species
GGGUGACUCUAUCUUUCCGUACACCACGUUAUCUUCCGACCGCCGGGCCCUAGCUCCGCACACCCCCGGCACUCAGUGUAUGGGGCUGGCAGCUGUGGGCCCCGCCCAGUGGUGCACCUAGGGGUGCCAGCCUGCACCUCACACGCCGCUCCCUUCCCUGGGCAGCACAGCUUCUUCUCCAGGCUCCUGUGGCCCCGAGCCGGGUGUCGAUAAAGCCCCGGCCCAGCGGGGCUGCGGGGCGGGCGGCACCGCGGUUCCCCUGGUAGCAGCCGGCCCUCUGCCCCCUCCAGAGCCCGGCGCCAGUGGCUGCUGGCCGGGCCUCAGGGCUGUGGGAGCUCAGGGUUGUGCGGGCAGGGGAGGCCAGGGCUGGGCGCAGGGAGUGCCCGGCCGAGGGGCAGAGCCCGCGCCAACUCUUCCCUUCUGCCUCCCUCUCCAGCUGGCACAGGACAGGAAACGAGCGGCCGAGUACGCACGCCAGGCCCUGCCAUACCUGGAGAGCCGGCAGGAGCACCUGAGAGAGGUGGCCAGGAGGUUCAUCGGUGAGCCACAAGCCCGGGCUCCCUCCCCGCCCCUCCGCAGCUCGGCCCCGGCCGCGGCUGCUGCCCCAGCAGCGGCAACCGGGCCCGGCGCCCUGGAGCCCCCCCUGUCCUUGGAGCUGCUGCCGGCCUCUGGCAGCCGUGCCCCUGGGCGUCCGGGUGCAGCAAGGGCUGAGCCCUGCUGGGGCAGGAGGGCGUGUGGCCACAGGGAGCUGUGCCGCUGGGGCUCUGACAGGUUCUGUGUUCCCAGGGUCCGCCAGGAUUCUCUUGAGGGGGCAGAAGGAAGAGCUCCGAUUCCUCAGCGAGGCCCUUCAAGCCUCAAAGAAAAAAACGGUCUAACCUGUAUGUUCAAGAGCAGUUUGCCAGAGAAGCAGAAGAAUUAGUCAUCUUCAGGAUCCAGUGAACCAGUGUCCCAAGAACAGCAGGAGACACUGAAGAGGACAGACACCACCUCCCAGUGGCACUAGAGCUCCAGGCACAGCUGAGCCUGUGGGAAGCUCAAGUAGCUUCAGCCCUCUCCCUCUCUCCAGCCCUGAGACCGUGCCUACCACCUUUUUUUCCCUUCCAGCUCAUCCCUUUGCUUCAUCUUCCAAAUAAUAAACAGUUUGGCUUUUCAUUUUAUCUGCA